CUGGUCCGACACCACAAUGUGUAUUUUCAGAGCUAAGUCAGUACGAAGAGCCACGAGUAGAAAAUUACCUUGACGACUAUACAGACCCUGAAACAAAAAUAACAUUUAAAAGAGGAACUGAUGAUGAAAUUCGUGAACGGAUCAUAGAGACAAAUAAUAACUGUGAUCGGUAUAACUUAUUGUCCAACAACUGUGAGCACCAUGCUAACUAUGUGCGUUAUGGACAUAAAAUAGCAGAGCAGUUUAAACUGACUGGUGAAGGUCUUUGUUUCAACAACCCAAGGAUCAAUACACAAGCUUUGGGGCAAUACUUGAGAGAAUCCUGCAGCUCUGACCCAGCAGGCUAAACAUGUUUUAAAUGUUCUUCCCUCUAAAUGUCACAUCAGAUAUUAAAUUAAAAUCAAUAAGCAAGUUCUUUUAUUGUCUAUGAGGGUGUGCAGUUACUAAUAAAAUGAAGUAUGUACACUGUAUUUUAGACUGACUUACUGAUUAUUAUGGUAUCUGGCGUACAAGCCAGCAAAAGACAUUUAUAUAAUUUAAAGUAUCUUAGAUUAACAUAUUAGUUGUAACCUAAAGUUGUAAAUCAGGGGAUGAGUGUUUAAAAAACUCUAACUCAGUCUAGACAUUCUGAGUUAAAUAAUUUGCCCAUAGCCUCAGCUUCAUGUUAAAGCAUAAUAUAAACUUUUUUAUUGCUUAAUGAAAAAAAAAAAAAAGAUUUUUAAUACAGAAAUGCAUUGAAUAUACAGAAAAGUAUGUCCAGGGCAUGAACUCAACACUUCAAUGGCGUGUCACUUGCAAGAAUUGCUGCAUCAGUGUGGCGUGGCACAAAGGUGAUUAUCCUGUGGGACUGCUAGUGUUAAGAAAACCCUGGUUGCUUUAGAAUGGACCUUCAGACCAUGACAGUACUCCAUAGUUCUGUAGCUGAGUGUGAUGAAGCAUUGACUCCAGCUGGGGUGCACACCAUACUUUUUUCCUUCCAGUCAACUCUCUAUAAACAUGCUUGGAUACAGCACACUCUGAACUGCCAUUUCAUCCACCAGGGUUCAGGGGUCAAGAAAAUUACAGUAAAAACAAUGACUACAUAAAAAUAUUUAAUUGAAAAUGUAAGCAUCAUUAAAGAAGAAACGGUUAAAUGCUGAUCUGAAUUGCUAAGAAAUGAUAAAGAUUGAUUGAUAAACCUCAGCCUUUAUGAUAAAACUGCAGUAAAUAACGUUGCAGUCGUGAUUUAAAGGAGCCACAGUUUCUGCUCAUCUAAAAUUUUCAUGGAGUUUGUUUUGAAACUGUGGAGCACUGAAACUAAAUGUUGCUUUAGCUAGUUUAAUUAGGCUUGUGCCAGAGGUACCUUCAAUAAGGUCUGUGCAUCUUUAUUUUUAAAGGUUUACCAGUUCACUUCAUUCCCACUGAUGAGUGUUUGAGUGUUUUCUCUAUGUCCUCUUAGAGAUUAAAAAAAGAGCUCAGGUAUCUGAAAAAUACAUAAUCAACUCAAUGUUGUUUUCUUUAGAUAUAGCACUUAAAAAGCCAUUACAAGUUCACUCACCCAAACAUAUACCUUUGAUAGCAUUCAUUACAGUUUAGCUUAUUAACUGAUGUCCGGUGGUUUUUUCAUGUUUUUGAGAUUAAAACACUUUAGUUUUCGAGAUAAUAUGUUAACAGUAUUUACAGUAGAAGAAUCAAUGCUCGGGAGAAUAAAAUGAACUUUUGUUUGCAUGCUGCCAUAUACCUAAAUUAACCUGUAAUAAAGUUAGCUUUUGCAUAAUUGCCAGGGAAUUACCUACAUCCCUCUUUACUGUCUCAAACAGAUAAGCAUGACAAAAUAGAUGCAAAUGUCAUAUGUACGUGGAGUUUGACCGUGCCACCAAAAAUGAUAGAAGAGCAGUUUAUAUAUAGCCAGUGCAACAUUAUUCUAAUCCCACAAUGCAUAAAAAAACAAUUCUCCCAGUAGCAGAAAUGAGGAAGACCUCUAGCAUCAAAACAAUAAACUGAAAGUUAAAUGUACAAAAUAAAAUUUGGAACCUGAAAGAAAACUUAACAGAGCCUAAAUAAAUAAAACCCUUCCUUUAGCUUAACACUGAUGUUCUCAAAUGAAAAAGUCAAGAAGUGUUAAUCUCAUACUGGAGGCUGGCUCAUUCAAAUGAAUCUGGGAAACAGUGGCAGGACUAUUCAGGUGUACCUUUGGUUUUCUCUUUUCCUCAGUAGGUGUCCACUAUUUUGCUGAAGGUAAGAGUCUUGAAAGAGCUUUCUUGAAUAAAAAAAAAAAUCUUGCAUGUGUUAAAUACUAUCUGAGAAUAGAAGGGCACCACGAUGAAUCCGUAUGUGAUGACUUUGUUUCCUUAAAAAUGUUUUCAUUUAUGUCGUUUGUGUGUCAGCUGAAGCUUUUAUGUUUUGUUUUCUAGUACUCUUUCCAUCUUUUUGUUCAUCUUAGACAUUUGCUUCUAAAAAAGACAGAUUAUAGAGCGAGGAAUACAAAUAUGAGUGGCUGGUAGGUAGGAUUGGGGGACAGGAAUACAAGUUUAACCAAACUGUUUAAAACUCAAACUCUGCAAAACUAACUCUACAGAGCAAUCAACAGCAGGAUGUGCAGUGUCUUGCAGCCAUAUUUACAGGCAUUUACCUUUUUAAUAUUAUGUGAUAUAUUUAAAGCAAACCUCAAUCUAUCUUAUACCGACACAAAGCAGUGCAGAAAUGUGAAGUGGAAAGAAAGCUAUACUUCAUUCUUAAAAUUAUAUACAAGAAAAAUCUGAAAACUGAAGUGAAUUUGUAUAACAUCACACAAGUCAAUACUUUGUAGAACCACCUUUCAGUGCAAAACAUCUGUAAGUUUAUCACUAUAAUCUGAACACAGACAUUUUACCUGUCUUUAAAAUCAGUCAGACUGAAUGGAGUCCCUUAACGAACCACAGAUUUCAAGUCAUGCCACAUAUUCCCAAGAUCUGGACUUUGAUAAGGGCUUUCUAACAAAUGAAUAUGCUUUGCUCUAAACUAUUUUAUGCUAGCUGUGGCUGUAGAUUUAGGAUCGUUGUCCUACUGGAAGGUGAACCUUCGUUCCUCUUUCACAGACUCUUAACAGGUUUUCUUCCAGUAUUGGCCUGUUUGUAGCUCCAGUUUCUCAUCAACUCUGACCAGCUUCACUGUCCCUGCUGCUAAAAAAUCAUCCCCACAGCAUGAUACUGCAACCACGUUUCACUUAUUCCUGUUUGCCCACAUUAUACACGAGAGGUGGCAAACUUUAAAUGGGAUCUCUCUCGUCUUUAUUGCAAUAAUAUUCCAUAAGCAGAUUUGUGGAGUGCAACUACUUUUAUUUCUCUGUUGACAUUCUCUCACCUGAGCAGUAGAUUUCCACAGCUCCUCCAGUAACCAUGGGCCACUUCUCUUGAUGUUAUUAACAAUAGUUUUGUUUUUAUCACUUAAUCCUGCUUAAAAUGUCUUUAUGGCUCUAUCCGUGACUUUUCUGAUGCAUUUCUUGGUCUUCAUGAUGCUGUUUGCUUACUAAGGUUUCUAACAAACCUUGGAGACCUUCACAGAGCAGCUGUAUUAUUACUGAGAGUACAUUACAUGCAGGUAAACAAGAAUUACAUUUUAUUUAGGUGUAUUAGAAUAUAGAGGACAGAUUUUUUACAAACCAUUCUCCCACUUACGCACCUCUUUGUGUCUCGCAAAACCUUGACAAACAACAUCAAACUCUGUGUUGAAAUGUGAGUUCAAGUGGUGUUAAACCUUUUGUGAGGCACUGCAUAAGAGAUGCUGCAAUUGACAGCAGUAAGAAUUUGCAUAAUUUACAUUUAGUCAGUGUGCAUACAUGAAGUACAAUAAAGCAUAUUUCGUAGGGAUUAACUCUUAACAGUCACUCUGAAUGAGCCUAAACGCUCCUUAACUGAAUCCCUAAACGUUUUAAAUCAUUUUGAGGUUUAAUUUGGUUCUAUUUCAUGGUAAAGAGGGACUGAAACACAGGUUCACAUAAACUUAUAUACAUAAAGUAUUUAUAGUUAGUUUAACAUUUUUAUUAUGAUUGAUUUAUCUCAUUUCCUAGGGUGGAUGAAAAACCCAUAAAACAUUAAUAUUUUUUUCAAACAAAAACUAGGUGGACAUAUUAUUACCUUAAUCUAUAAAGAGUCAGAAUUAUACAUACAAAUUUAGAAAUAAUGUAUAAAAAUUCACCGAAAUCUAUCAUAAAAGUGGCACAGAACGUUGUAGAGGGUUUUUUAACUUCCCAUUGAUGAUGACUGAGUACAGGUGGUAGUUUAUCUUUGCUAGCAGCUCCUUUAACAGCUCCUGAGACAUAUUAUGAUAGACAAUUAAUUCAGUGACAUUUUAUUCUACCUGCAGAAACAAAGAGCGGUAGAUACAUGCUAAUCACUUUCGUUUACUGAUCCUACUGCCUGUGAAUGUUGCUUAUCUUGCAGGAGGUGACAAAUACUGGUUGUGAACAAAACGAGCAGUUGGGGAGAGAAACUGUACUGCUCAUGGUUGAGUCUGUUCAGAACCAAGCAAACAUGCUGCAAACAUAAAAGCUGAUAAGAGAUAUCCAUUUGCGGUUUGCUGAAGGACAGAACUGGACACAUGGGGAGAACAACUCAGAAGUAUUGUUCAAAAGUGUAUAUAAGGAGGCGAUUUCCUUUGAUUCAGUAAACUCCAAGUCCUUCAGAUGAAGGUAAGACCUCUGAAACUCCUUCUUUCCUGGAUUAACUCUAAAAUAUUAGGCUCAACACUAAAAUGUGUAUGAAAUAUAUUGUCCUUUCUUUUGAAUUAUAGAAAAUGGCUUUGUGAAAUCUUAUGACCUUAGUUAAAAAGUAGUUUCACGAGUCUGACAUGUUCAUCUCAGACCUUGACUGCUUAGGAAAUGAGGAAGCUACCCUGGUGGAUGGGAUCCUUCUGCUGAUGAUCACAACACUGGAAAUGAGUGGAGUAAGUUCAUCAGUUUAUUAAGGCUACCACUUUAAAAUAUAUCCAACAUGUUUUUGUUUCAGUUAGUUUGAUCACAUUCUGUUUAUUCUAAAUGUUGUGCUGGGACUAUGCAUGUUCUUCCACUCACAGUUCCAAUUUGGAGACAUCAUUUCUUAUAAAACAAGAUGUAAAGUUGGAGUUCGAUACAAACACUUCGCGGUCUAUGUGGGAGAUGUAAAUAUUUGUGGGAAAAAGGCAGGGCAGGACAUUUAUGAACAAGCAAGUAAGUAUACCUAAACAGCAAUAAUAAUAAUAUAAUAAUUAUAAAUUAGAUUGUUAACCUGCUAAUUUAUUUUUUGUUAUUUGUUUACAGAGAAAUAUCACGGUAAAUCGUGUAAAUUUGCUAAACUAACAAUGAACGAAGAGCCGGAGGUGAACAAUUACCUUGAUGACUAUACAGACCCCUUAACAGGAGAGACAUACAGUAAAGGAGAUGACAAAGACAUAAUUAAACGCAUCCUUGAGACAUAUCAGAACUGCAGAAUAUACGGCAUCCUUCACAACAACUGUGAACACAUUGCUACCUACGUCCGCUACGGAGUGAGGGUGGCACUGCAGAUUUUGUAUAGAUUAUAUAUAAACAUACAACAGUCUUCCCAAUACAUACAUAAAAACUAUUGGGUCGGACAGAUGUUUUUCAGAGCGGUAGAGAGAUUGCAACUGAAAACAUCUCUAUCCGUUCUCCUCGCAGCGAGUAAAUAACUAAUUCUUUGUCUUUCUCUUCCUUUUGUGAUGUUAUAAGUAUUGUAGGUUGUUUAAACCUGACAAAACCAACACUUAUUAUCAGCAAUUACAUAUGUAUUAGUACAUUUCUGAUUUAGAAUGUAAUUGCUUGAUUUGGACAAAUUAUUAUAACUUGACAUUUAUUUUCUAUGCAGCUUUUGUAAAGAUGUGAAGUAGCCCAAAAAAUAUACCUGUUAUCUUUAAUUUUCUUUACGAGAUCUAAUCAACAAUCGACCAACCAAUGAAUUAGUAAAACCAAUGAAGACACCAUCAACGCGCUCGUUUUAAUUCCCCAAGACCUUCGCAGGUGUUCCUUUGAGAUUUAAAGACUGAGGUAUUUGUGAACUGAAUAUACUAGUUUACCACAAAAACAAGAUUCGGUCAACAUAGUAUCUACACGGAGCCAUUACUUGGUGUCUCAGAGCACAGCAGAACAUUGCAAUAUAGGAUCAAAUCUGUGUUAAUUCAAUGCAGCUAUAUGUGGUUUUUCAACCUCUUUUUAACCCUAGUGAUGUUGUGUAAAUAUACAUCAAAUCAGAAAUAAUGUGCAGACACAAUCCAUAUAAUCUUAUGUACUGCAUAUGCUUUUGUAAACCUUCAUCGCAUGUCAGAAAUUUAGCUUCUCUGUUUGAUCUACAAACGUAAUUUCUCAAAUUCAACAAUUAAUCUCACAACUUAUCUUGUAAUUUCCUGAUCACAAUGUACAUAAUCCCUUUUGUUUUAUUUGCAGCUCAACAUGACUGGUGAGGGUCUCAUAUUUGGCAAUGACAAAUUUGACAGGAAACAUUUACUGGAGUACCUGAGGAGCAAAUCCAAAUGCCCUUCGCAUCACAAGAACUAAAAAGAUUCUAGUGAACAUGCUUGUGUUCAGCAGACAGAGCUCCACAGAUGUCAUCCCUGACAAUU